GCCAGCAUAAUGUAGUGGUUUGGGUGUUGGACUAGGACUCUGGAGACCAGGGUUCAAAUCUCUGCUCUGCCG